AUCCUCAGUGCCUUUGAGUUCCAGAAGGCCUGGGACCACCGGACUGUUAUUGAUCGUAUCAGACAAGGCUUUGGUGAGCAUAUUCCGGAGGACGUCAGCCUCCAGCUUGUAAUGUCUUGUGGCAAUAAGUUGGUGUCCCCUAAGAUCCAGGAGGGUCAGGAGCUGAAUGGGAUGCUAAUCCACAAGGUUUUUUAAAACCAAAGCCCUGUAUGUAAGACCAUCAAGGACCCUUUUAACUGACUCAGAGGAGGAAAGUGAACUUUCUGCCACUGACAGAUCAACUGCUAAGGACAGUGAUGAGGAUUGUUGUGAAAUCCUGCAAAUCCCUGCAGGCAUGAGCAGCUGUGUCACCACCAGGGCAGCCUCAAGAGCAAUGAGAAAUAAUGAUCCCUGUACUGGCAAUAUUGAUGGUGAAGGCAAUCCUGGCACUGGCACUGGUAUUGACGAUGAUUAUAAUGAUGAUGCCACCAACCACCCAGCUACCAGUGCUGUUAAAAGGA